rnacentral:rRNA from 1 species
CUAGAGUAUGAUCCUGGCUCAGAACGAACGCUGGCGGCAGGCUUAACACAUGCAAGUCGAGCGCGUGGCAACACGAGCGGCAGACGGGUGAGUAACACGUGGGAACGUACCCUUUUCUACGGAAUAACGCAGGGAAACUUGUGUUAAUACUGUAUACGCCCUUUUGGGGAAAGAUCUCUCGGAGAAGGAUCGGCCCGCGUUGGAUUAGCUAGUUGGUGGGGUAAAGGCCUACCAGGGGACGAUCCAUAGCUGGUCUGAGAGGAUGAUCACCCACAUUGGGGAUGAGCCGCGGCCCAAAAUCCUACGGGAGGCAGCAGUGGGGAAUAUUGGACAAUGGGCGCAAGCAUGAUCCAUCCAUUCCGCGAGAGUGAUGAAGACCUUAGGGUUGUAAAGCUCUUUCACCGGAGAAGAUAAUGGCGGUAUCCGGAGAAGAACCCCCGGCUAUCUUCGUCCCAACAGCCGCGGUAAUGUGAAGGGGGAUAGCGUUGUUGGGAAUUUGUGGGUGUAAAGCGCACGUAGGCGGAUAUUUAAGUCAGGGGUGAAAUCCCAGAUCUCAACUGUGGAGCCACCUUUGAUUCUGGGUAUCUUGAGUAUGGAAGAGGAUAGUGGAAUUGCGAGUGUAGAGGUGAAAUUUGUAGAUAUUCGCAGGCACCCCAGUGGAGAAGGCGUCUAUGUGGUCCAUAACUGACGCUGAGGUGAGAAAGCGUGGGGAGCAAACAGGAUUAGAUCCCCUGGUAGUCCACCCCGUAAACGAUGAAUGUUAUCCGUCGGCAAGUUUACUGUCGGUGGCGCAGCUAACGCAUAGCAUCC